rnacentral:rRNA from 1 species
UACGUAGGGUGCGAGCGUUAAUCGGAAUUACUGGGCGUAAAGCGUGCGCAGGCGGUUUUGUAAGACAGAUGUGAAAUCCCCGGGCUUAACCUGGGAAUGGCAUUUGGGACUGCAAGGCUUGAGUUUGGCAGAGGAGACUGGAAUUCCUGGUGUAGCAGUGAAAUGCGUAGAUAUCAGGAGGAAUACCGAUGGCGAAGGCAGGUCUCUGGGCUAGAACUGACGCUCAUGCACGAAAGCGUGGGGAGCAAACAGG